rnacentral:misc_RNA from 1 species
AAGUCGUAACAAGGUUUCCGUAGGUGAACCUGCGGAAGGAUCAUUAUUGAAUUAAACUGAAGCAAGUUGUUGCUGGCCCUUUGGGGCAUGUGCACGCUUGCUCUCAUUUAACCACCUGUGCACAUAUUGUAGACUUUGGGAUGAUCUUCAAGCUUUCAUUAGCUUGGUUUGAGGAUUUGCAUUAGCUUUCCUUGUAUUCCUAGUCUAUGUUUUCAUAUACCCCCAAUGUAUGUUUUAGAAUGUUGUUAAUGGGCCUUUGAAAGCCUCUAAAUUAAUACAA